rnacentral:lncRNA from 1 species
GGCGGCUUAAAAAGAACACAUUACUUCCAUUAAAUCAAUUAUAUAUUCGCUUGCUGGGACUUUCAGCUCGUCAUAUGAGUAUGGACUAUGCUGUAAUUCACGAUGAAAAAAAUAAAGAGUUUUAUAUCGACUUAGUACCAGAGAAAGCAGUUCUUCAGUAUCAACUUAUUCAUGAAGAACCAAAGAUCAUAGAUAUGUAUCAUACUGGUGUGCCUGAAAGCCAAAGGGGCAAAGGAAUUGCUGGUAACUUGGUUAAGGCUGCAUUCUCAUUUGUGGUUGCUAAUAAUCUGAGAGUUCGUCCAACAUGUACAUAUGUUCAACAUUAUAUCGACAAAAAUAAACCUACAGAAAUUAUGCAAAGACUUGAAAAAUAAUACAUAAACUUUCCUAGUUAGACCAAUAAAUAUAAUUUACUGAAAAUUUGUGAUUGAAUGAUUUGAA